rnacentral:rRNA from 1 species
ACUGUCGCUGUUGAUUUCUCACCUUCUGGAGAAACUUGAUGUCCUUAAUUGGGUGUCUUGCGGAUCCAGGACCUUUACCUUGAAAAAUUAGAGUGUUUAAAGCAGGCAUUUUUGCUCGAAUACAUUAGCAUGGAAUAAUAGAAUAGGACGGCAUGGUUCUAUUUUGUUGGUUUCUAGGAUCACCGUAAUG